rnacentral:rRNA from 1 species
UACGAAGGGGGCGAGCGUUGUUCGGAAUUACUGGGCGUAAAGGGCGCGUAGGCGGCGACUCAAGUUAGAUGUGAAAGUCCUGGGCUUAACCUGGGGACUGCAUUUGAUACUGGGUUGCUUGAAUUCGGGAGAGGAUAGCGGAAUUCCCAGUGUAGAGGUGAAAUUCGUAGAUAUUCGGAGGAACACCAGUGGCGAAGGCGGCUCACUGGUCCAUUACUGACGCUGAGGUGCGAAAGCGUGGGGAGCAAACAGG